rnacentral:rRNA from 1 species
AUUGAACGCUGGCGGCAUGCCUUACACAUGCAAGUCGAACGGCAGCACGGGUUCUUGCACCUGGUGGCGAGUGGCGAACGGGUGAGUAAUACAUCGGAACAUGUCCUGUAGUGGGGGAUAGCCCGGCGAAAGCCGGAUUAAUACCUCAUACGAUCUACGGCUGAAAGCGGGGGACCUUCGUGCCUCGCGCUAUCGUGUUGGCCGAUGGCUGAUUAUCUUGUUGGUGGGGUAAAGGUCUACCAAGGCGACGAUCAGUAGCUGGUCUGAGAGGAAGACCAGCCACACUGGGACUGAGACACGGCACAGACUCCUACGGGAGGCAGCAGUGGGGAAUUUUGGAAAAUGGGCGAAAGCCUGAUCAAGCAAUGCCGCGUGUGUGAAGAAGGCCUUCGGGUUGUAAAGCACUUUUGUCCGGAAAGAAAUCCUUGGCCCUAAUACGGUCGGGGGAUGACGGUACCGGAAGAAUAAGCACCGGCUAACUACGUG